rnacentral:piRNA from 1 species
AGGAGCAAAAUUAAAGAGGGGAAUUGUUC